CUGCAAUCUUUAGAGAAGAAACAGGAGAAAUCAGUUUUGGUUUAGUUGCUUACUUAAUAUUUUUGUUUCAUAACCAUGUAGCCCAGCUAGAAAAAAACAGAGCAGUAGAAAGUAAUUUUUCGGUGUAUGAUGUAAACAAUUUAGUCAUUUCUUUCUUUCUUUUUUUGUUUAAAGGAAGAUGUGAACAAAUGAGAUUAUCUGUUGUCGUAUAACUUGGCCAAUCAGCAAUGAGCUCCCAGCGACCCAUGCUGUUGACCUUGAUCACAUGACUUUCUGUAGUUGCCAUUUCAUUCCUGUUCAUACAAUGCCAUGUGCCCGAGAAACUAACGUUACCAAAGUCGAAUUGCUAGGAGUUGCAAGCGAGUCUGCUGCUGCAGCACCCUGUCAUUGGUCAGGUUUUUUUGUUAUCUGGUAAAAGGAUGACUCGACAGAUGGAACCAGUCUGAAGCAAGCCUCCUUCAAGGAGCAGCGAUUCCACAGUUCCAGUUAACUGGAUGGUGAGCCAACCCAAAAGUGAAUAGGAUUUGCUGAGGUUUUAUUGAAGCCAAAGCUUCCUUCCCAUUGAAGCUUCAGAUACCUGCAGGACUAGGAACUUUCUUCUUCAUCGGAGUGUGGUAGGACAAACGUUAAACAAACUGAACGGGCCCCAACGAUCCAUCAGUUACCAGACAGCUUUCUCUGAGUCAAAUGUAUCAGUGAAUAAUGUAUGCGUGCACUUUUAUUUAGUUUGUUAUUUUGGGGGGAAAUAUUUUGUAUUUUAUUUUAUUGCUUUCCUUACAUUUGUUUGCAGCUGCUGUGUGUCAAAUAUAACAAAUUUGUGAACAGUC